rnacentral:rRNA from 1 species
GCAAGUCGAACGGCGGCACGGGUGCUUGCACCUGUUGGCGAGUGGCGAACGGGUGAGUAAUACAUCGGAACGUACCUUAUCGUGGGGAAUAACGCAGCGAAAGCUGUGCUAAUACCGCAUACGCCCUUAGGGGGAAAGCGUGGGAUCGAAAGACCUCGCGCGAUUAGAUGGGCCGGUGUCUGAUUAGCUUGUUGGUGGGGUAACGGCCCACCAAGGCGACGAUAAGUAGCUGGUCUGAGAGGAAGAUC